GGAUUUAGUAAUAGGAGUUUUUUAAAUAACACACAAUCAGAUGAAACACAAUGCCAACAUAUCAACUGGUGCCAAGCACAAAUAUUUGUUUAGUGAACGAGCAAGACACAUGUGGGAAGCGUGCGCUGCCUGAUCCCAGGGUGCUGUUCAGACGCCGCCUCUCGCUCGGCCUCUAAUCUAGGCUGUUCAGACGCCACCUCUCGCUCGGCUGCUAAUCUAGGUUGGAAGAUUGGUGUUCAAGGGAAGAAAGCCUCUGGUGCCUUUGUUCACUCGUUAAACAGACGGGCAUCACGUGUCAGUUCCAUGCCUGGCACCGUGCUGCGUGCUGGGGUCACCUUUGCCCCACCCCGCAAGCUUGGUUCCAAGGAGAGCAGCUGAUGCAGGGUGGGGUUGGGUGCUGGAUGGGGCUGGGGAGGACAGCUGGGUGGCCCUGUCCUGGGUCAUGUGCUGGAUGGGGCUGCAAGACUCUCCAGAACCCAUUCAGGGCCUGGCCGGCUUCCGGGCUGCUUGGAGGAGGCGCUCAUAUUACAAACCUACAAGGAUGGGGCGCGGGGGUGCCUGCCUCAGGCAGUGUGGACCCCACGCGAGUGUACCGGCCUAAGCAAACCUGCAUGGGCCCAGCCAGGGAAGCCCCACGCCAUCAGCUACUGAACACCAGCUCCAGCUCGCUGGGUUCCUGAGGGCACAGGAUCCUAGCCGUGCCAGUCACCUUUACCAGGAAAUGUGUCAUUUUGCCUGUGGCAGCCCAAAUGGGUCCUAGACGAAGGCACCCUGUCUUCUCGUUUGCAGACCUCUGCUGUGCACAGUCAUCUGAAUCUCCCUCCCCACACAUGCACAGCAGGAAAACAAGAGGCUACAUGAUUUUAGACCUGGAAAGGACCCCACUCUGCAAUCCUGCUACACUUGGGAGAGAAGAAACGAGACAGAAAACAGGCCCAGAGAGGCCUGGGCUGCCCUGCCCGUGGCCAACAUGGCCCUGGCAGAGCCCGGCACCCUCCUGCCUACCCAGAAUUCUUUCUCCUGCAUCCAGUGAAGGGGCAGAGCCCCAGGAGCCUGUGCCUGCUGAGUAACGGUGGGAAGAUUGUAUUCAUACACCUGCAAAGGCGACGCCCGCCAGCCUCAGGACGCGCCAGAGAGAAGUCCAGCCGUGUGUGUGACACAGAGGGCUGUGUGGCUCAGGCCUGGAUGCCCCGGUCGCCUCUGGUCAGGCACUCACUCUUCUUUGAGCACAGACAGACCUGGGAUGCGGUGUUGAACAAGUCGACAGUCAACGAAAGCCACGGCUUUGCGAAGUACAUUCCAACUUAUUAGCUUAUCAGCGACUGAGCUGGCCGUGUUUAGGAGGACGGGGUGAUGCCACUGACACUGAGGGAGGCGUGAAGCCUGAGACGCGCCUGUGAGACCGGGACCGGUGGGGCCGGCGCGCGCCCAGAUUCCAGCUCUGCCCCAGGAGCCUGAAGCCCCCAGCAACCUGCAGUGUGGGCUCUGAGAAACUCGGUGAAACAGGGCUUCCCUGCAGGUGGCCAGCGGAUGGGACAAUCAGGGCAGACUUGGAGGUCUCUGAAGUCUUGGAAAGUCUGAAGGGCAGGCCAGCCUGGGAGAUGGAGGACACACUGGAGUGGCAGGUGCCUCGGGCGGCCGGCUGAGCACCAAAGAGGGACUUCUCACACACAGGUCCGCUUGGUCUCCUACACGCUUGCCCACGCGCUCCGUGGAUGCAGGAGCCGUGGUUAUCCUUGGCAGAAGGUUGAGUAGCACCUGCCUUGCCAGGGACCUGCUCCAAGCAGGCACGUCUGGUGAAUGCUGUGCCAGGCCCUUCCGGGAGCAGCCCCUCCCCGGGUGCCGGGGUCACCUGGCUCUGCCUGCCUGCAUGUGGAUCCCUGCGGGGCAGCGGGCACCCGGAUGACGUGGUUUUCCCUCACUGGAUUGGAGUGGAGUGAAUUUAACCCCCUCGUGGCUGCCAUCAUUUUCACUGUGAGGGAAGAGCAGCCGUGCCGUGGUGGUUUUAGAUGUCGUCUGUGGAGGACAUCAGGCUGACAUCCACGUCCUGGACUCCCCCUCGUUUGGUUUCAGAAUUUCUCUUAAAGACAACAUCAUAUUGUGACCCCAAAGCAUUCGAUAGAAAUAUCAAAAUUUUAAGGCACUUUGAGAAUUAAGAUAAAAUAUCUGUAAAUAUUAUGUCAAAUUUCACCA
rnacentral:lncRNA from 1 species